rnacentral:rRNA from 1 species
UACGUAGGCAGCAAGCGUUGUUCGGAAUUACUGGGCGUAAAGAGUGUGUAGGCGGUGCUCUAAGUUCGGUGUGAAAUCUCCCGGCUCAACUGGGAGGGUGCGCCGGAAACCGGGGUGCUGGAGCGCGGGAGAGGAAAGCGGAAUUCCUGGUGUAGCGGUGAAAUGCGUAGAUAUCAGGAGGAACACCGGCGGUGUAGACGGCUUUCUGGACCGUAGCUGACGCUGAGACACGAAAGCGUGGGUAGCAAACAGG